rnacentral:rRNA from 1 species
CCAGAGCUUAACUCUGGAACUGCCAUCAAAACUUUUCAGCUAGAGUUUGAUAGAGGAAAGCAGAAUUUCUAGUGUAGAGGUGAAAUUCGUAGAUAUUAGAAAGAAUACCAAUUGCGAAGGCAGCUUUCUGGAUCAAUACUGACACUGAGGAACGAAAGCAUGGGUAGCGAAGAGGAUUAGAUACCCUCGUAGUCCAUGCCGUAAACGAUGUGUGUUAGACGUUGGAAAUUUAUUUUCAGUGUCGCAGUGAAAGCGAUAAACACACCGCCUGGGGAGUACGACCGCAAGGUUAAAACUCAAAUGAAUUGACGGGGACCCGCACAAGUAGUGGAGCAUGUGGUUUAAUUCGAAGAUACGCGCAGAACCUUACCAACACUUGACAUGUUCGUCGCGACUUUAAGAGAUUAAAGUUUUCGGUUCGGCCGGACGAAACACAGGUGCUGCAUGGCUGUCGUCAGCUCGUGUCGUGAGAUGUUGGGUUAAGUCCCGCAACGAGCGCAACCCUCACUUUUAGUUGCCAUCAUUUAGUUGGGCACUCUGAAAGAACUGCCAGUGAUAAGCUGGAGGAAGGUGGGGAUGACGUCAAGUCCUCAUGGCCCUUACGUGUUGGGCUACACACGUGCUACAAUGGUAUUUACAACAGGAAGCAAGACGGCGACGUUUAGCAAAUCCUUAAAAAAUACCUCAGUUCGGAUUGCACUCUGCAACUCGAGUGCAUGAAGCUGGAAUUACUAGUAAUCGUGGAUCAGCGUGCCACGGUGAAUGCGUUCCCGGGUCUUGUACACACCGCCCGUCACACCAUGGGAGUUGGUUCUACCUUAAGGCAAGGUUUAAUACCCUUGACCACGGUAUAGUCAGCGACUGGGGCGAAGUCGUAACAAGGUAACCGUA